rnacentral:rRNA from 1 species
UACGAGGGGGGCAAGCGUUGUUCGGAAUUAUUGGGCGUAAAGGGCGCGUAGGCGGUUUGGCAAGUCUUUAUGUGAAAUCUCUGGGCUCAACCCAGAGUCUGCAUGAGAAACUGCCGGGCUUGAGUAUGGGAGAGGUGAGUGGAAUUUCCGGUGUAGCGGUGAAAUGCGUAGAUAUCGGAAGGAACACCUGUGGCGAAAGCGGCUCACUGGACCAUAACUGACGCUGAGGCGCGAAAGCUAGGGGAGCAAACAGG